ACUCCUCCAGAAGUCGGGAGCAGUCCAGUCUUAGCACAACUGCCGUAGCACUCUGGGACAGGUGUGCAGGUGUUCCAGCUGCCUGGGAACCUACCCACACAGGUGACAGUGCUCCUGCAGACAGGAUAAUCACAAGUCGCUUAAAGUCCCUCCAGAUAAGAUAUAAACCCCCAUCUUCUGCUCCAGUGCCAUGGCAACUUGCUCCCUGCCAUGCUCCCUCCUAUGACGGGAAUUAAGUCUAAUCCUCUGAAAGUUCACAGGCUGGAGUAGAACAGGCUGAAGAGAGGGUAUUCCCAUCAGAGUGGAGCCUUGUGUUUCAUU